GAUGAAGAACGUAGCGAAAUGCGAUAAGUAGUGUGAAUUGCAGAAUUCAGUGAAUCAUCGAAUCUUUGAACGCACAUUGCGCCCUUUGGUAUUCCUUAGGGCAUGCCUGUUCGAGCGUCAUUUACAAAUUCAAGCUCAGCUUGGUGAUGGGUGUCUGUCCCGCCUUUGCGCGUGGACUCGCCUCAAAUGCAGUUGGCAGCUUAUCCCUCGGCUCUAAACGCAGCAGAUUUGCGUCGAGCGUCGUGUGGAAGGGCUCUCCAGUAAGCAAACCCCCCAAAAUUGACCUCGGAUCAGGUAGGGAUACCCGCUGAACUUAAGCAUAUCAAUAAGCGGAGGA
rnacentral:misc_RNA from 1 species